AUCAUCGACUAUUUGUCAUUAUUUAACUUCAUUAUUUAAUUUUCAUCAUUAGUAACCCAACUCUCAACAUCAUGAGCUGACAGUGUUGAUGGGAUCCCGAUUAUUGACUGGUUCCGGUUCCUCGUGAAUAGUCAACUUAUUGAUUCAAUCUGGGCCCCCGCAUGAUGAGGAUGAUGAUAAACAAGAUGAUCAAAAGCAGCCUGAUCAACUGAAUUAUGUUCAUAAAUUUGAGAUGGAAAGAGGAGUCUGGUUAAAUGAGAUUGCAAUUGAAAAACAUAUGCUUAUGAAUUACCAGUAAAAACAACUUGUAACUACACCUUAUGUUGGAAGAGGAAAAUGAGAACAGCCAAAGAAGAGAGAAAAGAGGAGAGAA